CUCAGUUCCAAGCUGUGUGAGGAGAUCCGUGACAUUUUGACUGUAUCAGUGGCGCCGCACCAAAGUGCAGAGAAUCCCGUUCAACACUACAACACACUGCUGAGUUUAGCCUCACUGCAAAGGCCCUGACCCUGAGCCCAGGCCCUACAGAGGGCGCUCAUGAGCACAUCAUCCUCUCUCUCUCUCUGUUGUUCCACCAGCAGCAGAAUCCCUCUCUGUGAUGACUACACACAUCACCUCACGCAUGGCUGGACUACUGCUGCCUGUCCACAGCCUCACCACAGUCAGUGUAAAUUGCUGAUGUUGGUGGUUUCUCCAGUGGCCUGAGUUGAGGUGUGGAGCCCUUGGAACUGAUUAUGACAAUGACCCAACACACCUCCAGGCUGUGUAAGGGCUAUUUGACCAAGAAGGAGAGUGAUUGAGUGCUGCAUCAGAUGACCUGGCCUACACAAUCACCCGACCUCAACCGUAUUGAGAUGGUUUGGGAUGAGUUGGAAUGCAGAGUGAAGAAAAAGCGUAUGUGGGAUAGCUGGUUGAGAGAAUGUCAAGCUGGUUGAGAGAAUGUCAAAUAUAUAUAUAGAAUGUCAAGAGUUUGCAAAGCUGUCAUCAAGGCAAAGGGUGGCUCCUUUGAAGAAUAUAAAAUACAAUUUGAUUGGUUACUACAUGAUUCCAUAUGUGUUAUUACAUAGUUGUGAUGUCUUCCCUAUUAUUCUACAAUGUAGAAAAAUAAAGAAAACCCCUUGAAUGAGAA